rnacentral:rRNA from 1 species
UGCUGCAUGGCUGUCGUCAGCUCGUGUUGUGAAAUGUUGGGUUAAGUCCCGCAACGAGCGCAACCCUUAUCCUUUGUUGCCAGCGGUCCGGCCGGGAACUCAAAGGAGACUGCCAGUGAUAAACUGGAGGAAGGUGGGGAUGACGUCAAGUCAUCAUGGCCCUUACGACCAGGGCUACACACGUGCUACAAUGGCGCAUACAAAGAGAAGCGACCUCGCGAGAGCAAGCGGACCUCAUAAAGUGCGUCGUAGUCCGGAUUGGAGUCUGCAACUCGACUCCAUGAAGUCGGAAUCGCUAGUAAUCGUGGAUCAGAAUGCCACGGUGAAUACGUUCCCGGGCCUUGUACACACCGCCCGUCACACCAUGGGAGUGGGUUGCAAAAGAAGUAGGUAGCUUAACCUUCGGGAGGGCGCUUACCACUUUGUGAUUCAUGACUGGGGUGAAGUCGUAACAAGGUAACCGUAGGGGAACCUGCGGUUGGAUCACCUCCUUACCUUAAAGAA